AGUUUUCCUGUGAAGAAAUCCUAAAUGAGGGUUGAGAUGAAGGAAACCAAGUGAUGGGCAGUUCAAGAUUGCUGUCGUUUGAGAAGUUAAUGAACAAAUCAUCUUUCCUGUUGCGGUUGUGAGCUACAAAAUACCCAGAGGAGGCGGCACUUACUCUGGAGUUCAUACAGAAAAUUUUCCUGUGAAGAAAUCCUGAACGUGGUUUGAGAUGAAGGCAACCAAGUGGCUGUGCAUUCCUCCAAGACUCUUGCAUGAACAAUUUCAAAAAUCCAUGUAAUAUUUGAGUUUUUAAAUUGAAAAAAAAAUGGCACUUGCAUUAAAUAUGCAGUUAAAUGGUAAAUAAUACAUCCCCUAUAAUGAAUUGCAUCACUUUGAUGAUAUUUCUGUUAUAAUGAACUUCAAAAUUCUGUUGUCAAGCCACUGGAGUCACAUACUUUAUACCUUUCUGGACCUUGAAAAUGGUAGUUGCAUAGACAAUCAAUAGAGGGACAGAAAGUACCCAGAUUUAACUAAAAAUACUCUUAAUUUGUGUUCUAAAAAUGAAUGAAAGUCUUAUGGGUUUGGAAUGGUAUGAGUAAUUGACUGAAUUAACAUUUUUUUGUGUGAACUAUCCCUCUAAACAAUAUUGUUUUCU